AGAAGGUGGGGGUUCAGAUAGCUCUGUAAAUGAUGUUCUCAGAGCCUCAGUUUCCUCAUAAAUACUAUAGGGUUGCUUCCUUUGUGGAAGCAUUAGAGGAACAAUAUUCAGUGCCUGUCACAUAGCAGGUUCAUAACACAUGUUAUCUAUGCUUACAGCCAAAUCGAGUGUCUAUUCUAGACAUGAGCUGGUGCAGAGCACCCACUGAGCACCUGUGCAAAGGCACAUGGAGAUUUUGUAAGAAAAGAUAGUGCAGGCCUCUUUGGAGCAGCCUUCUCAGUGCUAUUGGGCAGACGAUAACAACUGGGAACCCAGUGUUCCUGCUUCCACCUUGGAGCUAGUGGAAAGAGACUCUAGUAAGGCAUGGGAGGGAGAUGCAAAGAAGGGGACCAGGGCAAGUUCUCAUCCUUGAGGUUUGUACCACCAUAGCUUAGAGAUUCACACCUAUAUUCAGACCAGAGAAGGGAUUACCCCAGUGUAUACAAUCAGAACCCUAGUGUUUAGAGGUCCCCUACCUGACACCUGCAUCCUCGGUCUAGGGAGAGUUUUGCCCAAGACCAACUUCCCUUCCUCACUCUGGAGGGUGGGCAAGCUGUAUGAUUCACUUGCUGGCGCUGUGCCUUCUCAUUGUGUCACAGUGUAAUUGAUCCCUCCUGAGCCAGGUGGCUGCUCUCCUGUGUCCCAAAUCAGGAAUACUGAUCCAGAUUGAGUCCAAAUUGUAACUGCGAAGACCUGGCUAGAGUGAGUCCAUCCUGGAUGGUGACUCUGAAUCUUUUAUAAGGUGCUCCUGAAAGUCUGUCUUUGGAGGAAGUGGGUCUGGUCCCCACUGACCAGAUUAGAUUUCCUUAUUGGCUUUUAUCAGUACUGCUGCUGUGAAUUAACAAAAGGCAUGAUUUUUGUCUGGGAAUAUCCAUGAAGAGACACCUAGUCUUUGUGCUUCUAAGACCUGAGAGAAGGGUCAUCCGCACAUCCUCCAAGGGGCUUACUUGGUCCUGUGGCAUCUUUCCUACAGGGACUAAGGAAGUCCCAGGUAUUGGGGGGUUCAAUCCCUGAAUUCCCCCAGUCUGUGGUGAAGAGCAGAGUGAAGCUUGCUUCUCCCAAUAGCAGGUCUAGGGUAGGGCCCGUGGGCUCCUGGAACAGCAAUGAGGUGCAGUAGAGAAACACUGACUGUCAUGAACGAAUGAGGACGUUGCUUUUGCUUCUGUGACAAGUGCAUGACCACUGAUCUCUAAAUGGGCAUACAAUUCUUCCAUUCUAGAGUGGGAUCUAAGGGAAAGAUAAGGCUCUGAAAGAUAAUCUGUUAUAAUUCCUGUCCCCCAUUAGCUGGGUUGACCUGGCCGGGGUGCUGGGUUCUUACCUCUUGAAACUAUAUGCCUGCUCCCAAUUCUCAGAGAGUCCCUGCCCUGUUUCACACGCACCCAUUCAGGCCAUACCCUCUCUGCAAUGUCUUUGUCUCACAGCAAACAACAAAGGGAAGGCCUGGGUCCUGACGGAACUCACUGUGGGCUCCUAGGUCACUGCUCCCUCUUUAGACCUCAGUGACUUGUUUUAUGUCCCUCAUCCUUGAUCUGCUAUGGCUUGGGGGAUAAAGAAGGAAUAGGAGAAUCUGGUUCCUCAGUCACCAACCUGUCCCCUGUCACCCACAUGUCCCUUGCUCUGUCCUGCUCCUGACCCCAGAGCAGCCCCAAGAACACAGAGACCAAACCAGCUGGUACAUUCUUCCUCUUCCUCCCCAUUAGUUCUUCCAAUCACACUUAACAGCCGCCUGGCUUUUGGCCGCAGCACGGUAUAUAAUAACCUGCAAUUAUUGUCCACUUAAACUGUCCCCAGGGCCUUGUCUGUUGCACUGCCUGGCUUGUACCGCUGGCCUGCUGAUUUUCCUGUCAGAGUCAAAGCCAAUGGGAAGAAAGUCCCUGACAGGGCCAACCUGACAGCCUGCUUGGCAGCGCACCACAGAGACAGGGCCACUGAGGAGACUACCUCCCGUCACAGUCUUAUCUAGCCGGGAACCCCGUGCUUUUAGGCUAUUCACAGCCUUUCUCUUCCAGUUCCAGCUCCUUCAUACUCAAUGCCAUUCUUUUAGCCAUAUUACUUUUGUUUGCCCAACGUAUACCAGUCUUUUCUUCUUCUUCCGUAUAUCCUCCCAAUGAAGGCAGUGGCAGUUUACACACAGGAGUGUUGCAGAGUACGAAGGCUUGUUAUUUUUUAAAGGCUACAGAAACAAGAAGUGGCAGACCAUAUUCAAAACACACUUACUUUAACUUCUGCUGGAUAACCUUCUCUCACAGUAACAAGUUCUCCACUUCAGUGGUUUUGCUCCAGCCUCCCUCCAACCCCAGGAAAUCUGCCUCCACCACCGCAGUGAGAGCCGUCCUGCCGUUUGACUCCUGAAGCAUCUCUGCAUGCAGAGACAUCACUAUCACUGCUUAGGACUCCUCCUUCUUAACUUUGCCUGCUUGUAUUUGCAUGAGCAUCCCUGGAGCCAAACAUUGACUGCCUCUGACAGGAAGCUCAGUCAUCUGUGUGGUCAGCCAGUGGACCACGCCUAUGUGAUGAUGGGGAGGAUAAAAGAUUUCUAGGAUGUAGAAAAACAUAUGGGCCUUGCACCACGAUUGGGGGAUUGCAGAAUCUGAGGGCACCUGUUUUUACACCACCCCAUAUCUAAUAACUAAUUAUCCAGAGGGGAAAAAAGUGGAUUCUGAGGCUCCCUGGUGGGAAUGUUGACUGUGGUGUGGUGUGGUGGUUGUGGUGGUGGUGUGUGUACACGUACACAGUCCAGAACACAGGGGUGAUGGUGUUUGUAAGAAGUGGAGACCAUAGGAUUGUGAUAGGUAGAGUCUCCUGUCUGCCAGGUCAGGGAAAGCCAGGGGCUGGCAGCAGAGUGAGACUCUGAAAAGCACUGUGAGUGGAAAGUAUUCCUUCCAGGCUCCAGUUUCACUGGCAAUCCCUGUGAAGUAGAGACUCCGGGACAUUUUUGGUGAGUCUACCUCAUGUUCAGGCCAGUCCCCCCAGCAACGCCCUGAGAACUCUCUCUUCUGGCUCAGAGAGCUUACCACCAGCCACAGCCCUCUUCAAUUCUUUGCUUUACAAAGGCUUCUAAACAAGCAGCUUUACUGGAAAGUAGUUCGGGGGCAGCCGGAGGCCUUCUCUGGUCCACAAUACUUUACUGGUUAAGUUCAAGGCCGAUAUGAAGGCAAGCUGCUAAGGGGUUGUCGGGACCUUCUGUCUUCUGUGUCACUAGAGUAGCACGAGGCAGGUAGAGGACUUGUUAUCUCAGGGUCACAGAGACAGUGCCCACCCUUUUGCCCCCAACUCCCCCUUUUUGCAAUAUAUAAACUGCCUGCUGGUUGGCUCUUGCCCUUUAGAACUGGAUCAAGGCUCUUCAGGAAGGGCCUGGGAAAGGAUUCCCUAAUAGGGACAGCUACCAGAAUAAAUGCCUGAGAGAAUGGUAGUCACACACUGAUCUUCAUUCCCUUCAGCUUUAUUCUUCUCUCCCUCCCACCUAUACCCGGGUGGACCCCCCCCCUCACUUGCUGCUUUAAGGCAACUGCUAAGGUUUGAGUAUAAAAUGCUUGUAUGCUCAUGAAGGCUUACAUGUUUGAAUACCUGAUCUCCAGCUGGUGGCACUGUUCUGAGAGAUUGUGGAACCUUUGGGAGGUGGGCCUAGCUGGAGGAAGUGAGUUGUGAGUUGGUGGGGAGGGCCAUCUGCUUUCAAUCCAGACUGCUUCCUGUUCUGUCCAGACUAGAGUAAGCAGCCCUAUGCUCCUGAUGCUGCAGUCAUAACAUGCACGUGUGUGUGUGUGUGUGUGUGUGUGUGUGUGUGUCUCCAAGACUUCCAUCUUGUCUUCCUGCCUAUAGAGGAAAUACCAAAGGCAUGCACACACAUAAAAUAAAAUUUAAACAACACCCCCUCCUUCCCUUAAGUUGCUUCUUGCCAGGUACUUUGCCAUAGCAUGUGGAAAAGUAUCUCACACUCAACCUCCUCUGGUGUCAUCCAAUUUGGUGUGAGCAAACUCUACCUAAAGAGGUUCCAUGCCCCCAGCCUAGCUGGCCUCUGUGGUACAGGAAGCUUCUUUUGCACAUGUGGGUAGGGAUCAUGGGCUAUCCUGCAGUCUUGUUGGGCUAUCCUGCAGUCUUGAUGGGCUCUACAAGAGGUGUCAACUACUUUCUCCAUGAUCUCCAUUCUAGCCUAUAGUCCCUAGGUACCAGGUAGCCACCAUGUUCACAGGUGACCUCUGGGUCUAAGUAGCUAUGACAUCUACCUUCAAUCUCUGUAGAGAGGCCCUCUCCCUUUCUUCUAAAUGUUCUGGAGCAGACUCUGUCUUCCCUACUCAAAAAAGGCAACCAGAGAGUCUCUAAAAUUCUCCCCCACCUAGGCAGAGAGGAUGGAUGGGAGAUGCUAGGGGAUGCUUAUGUCUAGCUUUCUGCCUAAGCUCACUGCUCUUCGGUACCUUGAUGAAACUAAGGCUGCUCACAGCCACCCCCACAGGAGGGAGAGCUCACUCUGAAGUUUUGCGUUUCCUUUGAAAUCAACCACCUUCUUCUCCCAUACUGCCUAUGCAUAGCUCUUCAUGGUUCCUUCUGAAAUAGAAGGAUGAAGCUGCCUGGUGUGUAGCUCCUUACCUGACCUUCCCUUCCUUUUAUUUAGAUCAGGACAGCUUCUGAAUGUCUUUCCCCAAUGUAGAGGACAUUAGAGAAUGGUCCUAUAGUGCUGUGUCCCAUAGCUCUAUAUGGGAACAUGGAACAUGGAGACUUGAAAACUAAUGCCCUGGAGAGCCCUGUGGUAGAUCAGAAUUGUCAAUCUGCUUAAAAAUAUAAAUGAAAUACUUUUCAAGGAGGUAAUACAGCAAAUCUUGAUCAUCUUGAUCAUCCUUAAGGACGAGAGCUUGACACGUUAAAGCCCUUUAUUUGUUAAGUGUUUAGGCUACUUGCAAAGAUCAUCCCCAAGUACCCCAAGAGGGGACUGAGUAUGGGUGUGGCUGACAGUCAAUAUGUGUGUAUGCUAUGACACUUAAGAGAUGUGUGCUGCACAGCUUCACUUACCUCCUCUGUGUUUGCAGGUUGCUUGUCCGUGAUCAGCAGGGAUGCAGGUGUGUAUGUGUCUACAUACAUCUUCUACAUAUUGUAUUUUCUUUGUGUUUGCUAAUACUUUAAAGCCUCUGGGGGUGCUCUAUAGAUACAGAAAUACCAUUUGAGAAUCAGGAUUUCCAAGCUGAAAGGUACCCUAGGCAUUUUCUAAUCUUCUUUUCUCAUUUUAUUCUCAAUUAGCAGCUGGAGAGGAAGUGAUUUGCUCAGGGUCAGAUGUAUCGAUCAAUCAAUCAAUCAAUCAAUCAAUCAAUCAAUCAAUCAAUGAAUCUUCAAUCCUCCUCCUCCUCUAGUAUACUCUUUUGCUUACCAGUCUGUCUGUUUCUUUUCCUCUCUGUCCUUCUCUGUAUCCUCAGCCAGAGAAGAUCCUGACAACCGGUGAGGAUGCUGCUUUCAGGAAGACUGUUAGAAGUUGCACAGGGCCAUGGAGGUGGGGGGCAGGCUCAGCAAGUACCAGUCUUUCCUGUAAAUCUGGAGUCCAAGAAAGCAAUGCUUUGUUCUCUGGAUGGAGCAUGGAGGAAGAAGAGAGAGGCCUGGCUCCAUUGUUACAAAACCCGUUUCAGCCUGCUUCUUUUUUCCCUGGGUCCUUCCUUCCAUGAGUUGGCUUGGCCAACUCAAGUGGGAAGAAGGAGGUGGCCCAGUGGCAUUCUUCCUUUCAGCAUUCCUUCCUCCAACUCUAGCAUUUAGACUCUGCUUCAAAUACCUUUUUAGGGAAGGAAUACGUGCUAUUUGUCUUGCAUCUCAAAGGCACAACAAAACCCUCUCUCUAAUUCUUCUCCGCUGAUGCUGGAGCUUGGCACUCAAUUCUAGAUGACAGAGUAGAAGUAACUGACUGAUGUCAUUUUUCCAUGGAGGUACAGAGUUUGGAAUGACCUCAGCAUUCUCUUCUUUACUCCCGCACUCACUGGAGAAGUCUGCUGUCCACAUUCCAGAAGGUUCUCCAGUAUGUGUAGUUACCUUUGGCAGAAGGGAUCUCAUCCCUUCAUAUGGCAGCCACCUGCUUCAGGAAAUCUGAAUUUCUGUCCCUAGCAACAAUUCCUUGUCUCACGCCUUUGCUUUGCCAUAGGGUUGGAAAGAGGCAGCUGCUGUCUUUCCUUGCUCUCUGUAUUUUGGUCCCUUUGGUUUGUAAUACUAUUAGAGCUGUUUCCCUCACACUUUGUCCAUGUCAUCAAAGACAUUAAACUCACCAGUGGCUUCUUCUUGUAGUUCUAGUAGCCAUCUCUAGUCCUCCUCUGAAUAUUGUCAGCCACUGCCUCUUUGAAGGAGUCUCCUCUUCCAAGAAAAUGGUUCACUUUGUCCAUCUGCCACUUCCCACAGUGUCUUCGUUGGAAAACCCUUUCUUCCCACAGUUCUUAAAUAUUGGGGCCACCCUGGUUCUGUCCUUGAGCUUUUCUUCUUUUCAGGCUUCACCUGCUAAUACAGGGAUUAAUCCUCUAUACUUUGAUAGUUUGAAUCAGCAUGUCUACUCUCUUCUUUCUCACAAGUUCUAGAAUUCUCCAUGAUAAGAAACUCAGGUUCAUACCAUGAAAGAAAGCCUUUCUUCCACUAUUCAUCAUCAUCAUCAUCAUCAUCAUCAUCAUCAUCUCUCUCUCUCUCUCUCUCUCUCUCUCUCUCUCCUUCUCUCUCUCCCUCUCUUUCUCCCUCUCCUUCCUUUCCUCCCCCCCGUGUAUGUGUGUGUGUGUGAGUGAGAGAGAGAUGCACAUAUGUAUGAAUGUUCAUAUAUGUAUGACAUACAUGAAUGUAUGUGUGAGUGUAUUUGUAUACAUAUAUGUGUAUGUGUGGAAGUCUAAAGUGGCAGGGCCUCUUGAUGAAUUUGGAACUCAGCAAUUUCUGAUAGCCAGAGUCUGUGCCUCCUGAGUGCUGGGAUUAUAGGUGGCUGCCACAUCCACAAGGCAUUUGUGUAGUUUCUGGGCAUCAGAACUCAGCUCCUCACAUUUGCAUGGCAAGUACUUUAUCCACUGAGUCAUCUCCCCAAUAACCAAACUGCUUGUUUUGAGGAGUGGUCUGAUCAUCUAAGCCAGAACAAGGACUUUCCUGGCCACAUCUUUUUUCUUAUUUUAGAGGCCAAUAUCACUGAGACCUGCGAACUCCAUCCCAACUUUAUCUUUCUCCCACUAACUCAUUCUGCUCCACUGGCUUGCCAGUCUGCUGAAUGGUCUCUUUACUCUUGUUCCUUCUGUAUCUGACCCACAUACACUUGAUUCUGGGCACAGAAUGGAAUUUCUAAAACAGUCUGGCCUUCCAGUUCUAUCUUCAACAGCUUUCAGAGGCUCCUUGUUGUCUCCAAGGCAGAGCUCACUUUCACCCACUUGUAUUUCUUUUGACCAGAUGGGUCCCAUUUGCCUUCAUUUUUGGACCCUUCUUUAUCUCCCAUUUUCUUCUUUUUGUUCUGGAUAAAGCAUGUGCUUUAUGUGUUAUAUGCUCAUUCUCUCUGCUCUUAUUGGCUUAUAAAUACCCUACAUAUCUUCCAGGAACGCACUCCUACUUCUUUGCUAGUUAACUGGCAUUCAGUGGUCACCGCUGCUGACAUCAAGCCUGUAGGGAGGUGUCUCUUGUCUGACCUCAUAGGCAAGAGAUGUGUAGCCUUUGUGUGCCCUGAGGAAAUCUGCCCUUACCACCCAUUUACAUAAUUGUACUUGCUAAUUGCUUGCUGCUAAUUCCUUUCUCUACCCCAGUAGACCCCAAGCUCCUUGAAGGGUAAGUUUCUGAUUCAUUUCUUGCUCAAGUCUGAACACCUAGUGCCCGACACUGGUGUGCUCAGGCAAUGCUCACUGACUAAUUAAGUGACUGAAGAAUGCCUGGACGUCAGUGCCAGUGGGAUCUUGAUUAUGUAACAUAGUAUUGGAGUGUUGAAGGCUGUCCCCAAUAUGGUAAUGACCCAAUUGAUGGCUUGGGUUUAAGAAGGUUGGCAGCGGAGCUGCAUGCAGAAUGGAGUAAGCAUGGAGCUAGCUAGCAGGGACGGGGGCUGAGGUGCAUUUUCCACUCCCAUCCCAUAUGCUUCCCAUGGAGUCCAGGAGAUAGAGGCAAUUCAUGCAUAAUUGAAAGCAAACCAAAUCCAAGAGUGGGUUUAUAAUAAGCCUGUCGCGAAACUGUGAAAUGACCUCACCCUACUUUGGGGAGGCAAUCAUCCACUCUGUUUUCUAAACCUGGUCUGAUUGCUUUCCUCGGUUCUCAUCCACCUCCUACAAAGGCUGAGUGUAGAAGAGGAUGGUGGUCUCUGUUUGGGAUGGAUGAUACUCCUAUCUUAUUACUACCAUUAAUCUCUGAAAUACAUGUAUAGCUUUCUGAUGACUUGUCUGGAGGUUUUGACCCCUGGGAAGAAGAAAAUUACAGCCGGAAGAGUCCAAAAAUGGACCAGGUUUUUAAAAGUUCAGACUGGCUAAAUUGGUAGCUUAUCCCAACUCUAAUUUCUAGGCUAGGAACAAAGAGCAUCCUCACAUGACUCUGUCUCCCCUGACCCAUGCUCUCCAGCACAGUGAUAAGCAGGGGUGUGCUGUUUUGCUCUUUGUUAUACUGGGUUCUGCCCCAUCUCUCUAAAGAAAUCUUAUAAAUCAUUGAUGAGAAUAUUUCUAUUUUUGUCUUAAAUAUCCCAGCCAAGAAAGCCUCAUGAACACUUUCCAAAUCAAAAGCUGGCAUUGCGUGAUGCUUCCUCAUUGAUGGCAGGCUCAUUUCAUUGUUUUUUCCCCCCACUUUUGGCUCUGCUGUUGGUGGCGACGGUGCCAAGACUGAGCCCGAGGGUGUGGAGGCAGGGCUGCUUCUGAGGCUGAACUCUACGUGGCCUUUCCCUCCUCCCUCUGUCUGUCACGCACUCCUCUUCCUAUCUGAUAUGAAAACUGGUGUUUGUUUUCAGGAAGGAUUGUUCCUACCAUCUCUCUGCCUCUGUAACCCCCACCCCAUCCUGUGCCUAGACAGUCAACUCAGCAGACUACCAACUUGCACAUACAAGGCUCAAUGAAAAAGUUACCCUACUACAUGGCACAUGCCAAAUGACAUUUGGUCGUAAAGACCACGUCCCACUUGUUCCCCACUAUAAUUGCUAUUAGUAAGGGGAGGUGAUUGGCACAUCAAAAACAAUCCAUUGCUGCAUUGAGUAAAUGAGUGAAACAGAGGGCCUAAAGGAUUUGCACAUUGCAUGCCUGUUAGGUCUCUUCCACUCCCAAAACCCUCUAGACUUGCUGCCUAAAGGUGGUUUGACAGAGCUUUUCUGAGACUUGAAAAUUAUGCCUUAUUGAGAAGGUAAGAUGAAGCUAAUGCCCUUUUCCUAAUGAUUUCCAGUUUGUUGGGUCUGUCUCUUAAUUUGGCUUCUCAGCUCUCAUAUACUUAUUUGAUAUUACCUGUCCUUUGCUUAUGAAUUGUUUACUUUAGUGUGAACUCUAUAAUCCAAGUAAGUCCUGUUUUUCAGACCAGAAUAGAAAUACAUGGAGGAAAAAAGGUGUCCAUUAAAUCUGCAGUCAGCCGUGCAGACUCCAUUCAAGAGGCAUUUAGCACAGGGUUUUUAAAUAGCUCACCGAGAGAUCAGGGCUUGACUCUGAGACUAUUUUAAUUUUGAAUCUUUUAAUUUUUACAUUUAUUUAUUUAUUUAAUAUGGGUGUAUAUGUAUGCAUUUACUGCUGUGAAUCUGUGGAACUCAGAGGACACCUUGAUGUCCUCUCUUUCUAUUGCAUGGGUCAUAGAGAUUGAAUUUAGGUUAUCAGGCUUGGUGUUGAAUGCCUUUGCUCAUGAAGCCAUCUGCUUUAAUUUUUUUAAUAGUGCAGGUUAGAAUCUGAGUACAUGAAGUAAUAAACAGUAUAUUUACAACAUUUUUUAAUAAAGAUCAUGGUUUCUUUUUUUUUUUCCUUUUUUUUUUCGGAGCUGGGGACCGAACCCAGGGCCUUGCUAGAGCCUUGCUCUUGCUAGGCAAGCGCUCUACCACUGAGCUAAAUCCCCAACCCAAGAUCAUGGUUUCUAUACCUCUUCUCUGACAACCCAAAGUGUUAUGGAUUUACAUACCUUAUUUAAUUGCAUAGGUAUGCAGCAAUAAAAUGUUAGAUAAAUCAAAAUUAUCCAAGAGACUGGGCAAUUUUUAUUAUGUCUUUGUAACAAUGAGAUGCUUUAGAGAAUUCAUUCUUUGGUAUUUUGAUGACUGGGGAGGUGGCACACAUUGUCCUAACUUAUGUGCCUAUGGGAAGUGAGAGAGGAAAACAGUGGAGCUGCCUGGAUUGGACCUCACCAUGACCAUAAGUGUCUGCACAAAGGAGUAGAGAGUGCCAGGGGAGGUGGGUGUAAGCCUUUAGUCCAAGUCCUAAUACAAAACCCUGAAUACACUUUGCUCUCAGACGAAUUGCUUCCCCUCAGAGACCGACUCUCGUCUCCUGCAGAAGGUGGCAUUUGGACCAAGUGUUGAAGGAGAAGGCUGAUCUUACAAGCCAGGAUUGUGCCUGAUACCUAAAAAGUGUUCAGCAAAUGCUGUUGGCAACCUAAGAAGAGACUUGUGUUCCCGGCAGACGGGAAGAGUGAGACAGGGGAAGCAGGAGGACCAAGCUCAUUUGGGAUGUGGGACCUUCCUCCAAUCUAGGUUUCACAGAUAUGUGGAGUUCAUGUGGGGAAUGGAGGAGACCCGUCUUCUUGCCUUCUCCAGUGGGGUAAUGCCGUAGCUUGCAUAUUUCACUCAAGGCCCAUCUCCCUCCUACAUCCCUGUCACACAGAAUCUGUCUCUGUGGGUUCCGUGUCCUUUUGUGUUGUCAGGGGGCUAGUACCACAGUAUCACUGUUAUACUAUAACAAUAAUACAAAUAUUAUAAAAUUUGAUAUAGGUGGUACAAUUUCUUCAUGUUCCUUUUAGUUUUGUCUUUGAACAAUUUUGGUCUUUUUAUUCUUUUGCAUGGAUUUUGGGGUCAUUGUGUACAGCCUCAUUAAAAAAAUGCCAACCCUGGGGCUGGGGAUUUAGCUCAGUGGUAGAGCGCUUGCCUAGGAAGCGCAAGGUCCUGGGUUCGGUCCCCAGCUCCGAAAAAAAGAAGCAAAAAAAAAAAUGCCAACCCAAAUUGAAUUGUAAUUGUACUGAAUUUAUAUAUUAAGUUGCAUUCAAUGUAUGUAUUGUGUCAUCAUACAUUUCCAACAAUGAUUAUAGUGCAUUUACCUAUCUGUUUUGUUAUUUCAUGAUUUUCAUUAACAUUGUGUCUUUGCAGAUUAAAAAUAAUUUUUUCCUUUAACUGCGUCAUCAUGUCUGGCCUUGGUGGGAGAAGAUGUGCCUAGUCCUGAAGUAACUUGAUGUGACCGGGUGGGUUGAUACCUGGUGGGGGAGGUGGGGCUCUCCCUUCUCAGAGGAGAAGGGUAGAGUUGUGUGAAGGGGGCAUCAGGAGUAAUUGGAGAGCUGUGACUGAGACGUAAACUAAAUAAAUUAAUUAAUUAAAAAAUAUUUAAAAAAUAAAAAAAUAAAUUUUUUUAUUUAAAAAUA